rnacentral:rRNA from 1 species
CUGCUGCCUUCCGUAGGAGUCUGGUCCGUGUCUCAGUACCAGUGUGGGGGACCUUCCUCUCAGAACCCCUAUCCAUCGUGGACUUGGUGAGCCGUUACCUCACCAACUAUCUAAUGGAACGCAUGCCCAUCUAUCAGCGAUAAUUCUUUAACAAAUAUUUCCAUGUGGAACCCCUGUUUUAUGCGGUAUUAGUCCGACUUUCGCCGGGUUAUUCCCCUCCUGAUAGGUAGGUUGCAUACGCGUUACUCACCCGUGCGCCGGUCCG